rnacentral:rRNA from 1 species
CGGAGGAUCCAAGCGUUAUCCGGAAUCAUUGGGUUUAAAGGGUCCGUAGGCGGUUUAGUAAGUCAGUGGUGAGAGCCCAUCGCUCAACGGUGGAACGGCCAUUGAUACUGCUAGACUUGAAUUAUUAGGAAGUAACUAGAAUAUGUAGUGUAGCGGUGAAAUGCUUAGAGAUUACAUGGAAUACCAAUUGCGAAGGCAGGUUACUACUAAUGGAUUGACGCUGAUGGACGAAAGCGUGGGUAGCGAACAGGAUUAGAUACCCUGGUAGUCCACGCCGUAAACGAUGGAUACUAGCUGUUGGGAGCAAUCUCAGUGGCUAAGCGAAAGUGAUAAGUAUCCCACCUGGGGAGUACGUUCGCAAGAAUG